GAAACAUCUAGGUUAAAUCGUUGGCCCAAUGGUCUCUGCUGGUGUUGUGCUUAUGGAAGUUACUCAUGAUAGCUGUGAGACCAAAGGCUGAAGGAGAAUUCUGGAGAGUUUAUGUUCUCCCUCAAGGUGACCUCCGUGUCCCUGCCAGGACUAACAAUGAGACCUGAGCCUUCACCGAAGCAGCUGUGUGUUCUGACAACAUCAAGGCUCACCCGAGCCUACACUGAGCCUGCUGGAGCCCACACGGGCUCAGACUCCUGCGGGAUCCAAG
rnacentral:lncRNA from 12 species